rnacentral:lncRNA from 1 species
GGUGUUGUCUGCAUGGUGGGAGAUUUUCAGAUUCUCCUCUUCGUUCUCCAGCAGGAUGAGUCGCACUAUAGCAAUGUUGAUGGGAUUCCCAAUGCUGGCAUGGUGGAACAGCCCCGCCACCAUGUUCAUCACAGUCAGCACGUACUUCUCGAUGUUCUCACUCCCGUGGUAUUCUAUCAUCUUGGUGUCUGCCACCACCAGCGUUUCCACCCACUUCUCCUUGCUGAUGGAACGCUGCUUUAUUCUUCUCUUCCUGUAUUGUUUCUGUUCCCAUCUUUCCCUCCGCUUCUCAAACUUCUCUAGGCUUUCCUGAGAUUCUUGCACACCGCAGGCUGCCCAUGCUGCUGGCUGCUUCUUGUCUUGCUCUCCUGGGUGCUCAG